AAUGGAAUUGCUGGGCCAUAUGGUAAUUUUGUGCUUAACUGUUUGAGGACCUGCCAGACUGUUUCCUACAGUGUCUACAUAAUUUUAUAUCCCACUAACAGU
rnacentral:pre_miRNA from 1 species